rnacentral:rRNA from 1 species
AUUGAACGCUGGCGGCAGGCCUAACACAUGCAAGUCGAGCGGAUGAAGGGAGCUUGCUCCUGGAUUCAGCGGCGGACGGGUGAGUAAUGCCUAGGAAUCUGCCUGGUAGUGGGGGAUAACGUCCGGAAACGGGCGCUAAUACCGCAUACGUCCUGAGGGAGAAAGUGGGGGAUCUUCGGACCUCACGCUAUCAGAUGAGCCUAGGUCGGAUUAGCUAGUUGGUGGGGUAAAGGCCUACCAAGGCGACGAUCCGUAACUGGUCUGAGAGGAUGAUCAGUCACACUGGAACUGAGACACGGUCCAGACUCCUACGGGAGGCAGCAGUGGGGAAUAUUGGACAAUGGGCGAAAGCCUGAUCCAGCCAUGCGGCGUGUGUGAAGAGGGUCUUCGGAUUGUAAAGCACUUUAAGUUGGGAGGAAGGGCAGUAAGUUAAUACCUUGCUGUUUUGACGUUACCAACAGAAUAAGCACCGGCUAACUUCGUG